AAAUAUUCGGUAGAUAUCCACAGUGAUAGACUCUUCCCCCAUAAACAAACAUUAUGGUCCAACUUCAGUGAUUAAACUCAGCAAACGUCAGUUUCCCAAUCUUAUUUUGUAAUCUUCUAAUGUUUCAUGAAGACACCAGGAUUAAGAGCCUCCAAGAAUUUUUAUAUCACUUGGACAAUAGAUACCACAGAAAUGUUCUGCCUACAAAGCACAUACGAAUUCCCAGCAGCAUUGUGUGCGGCGCACAUUAUUUAACACCGCGUGUAAACCCCCCGGCAGGCGCAUCUAGGCGCAGCGCGCUGCUUUGCAUUUGCAAUUAUUACCCAACCUUUGCAUCCCUUGCGCUGAUACCGGCCCCAUUCCCAGCUGCGGAGCCACAUCUGGCCGACUGACGAUGCCAACAAGUUGGGGCGAGGCAGGGCCGGGCAGGACAGGGUAGGAUGCGGGCGGGAUGCUGGACCAGCCGCGGCGGGCGCGGAGCGGGCGCNCCCGGCGCUCUCCCUCACCCGGUCCCAGCCUGCGCUAGGGGACGUUCUGCUCGGGCGUUCUCCGCAGGAAGAGCUGUUAGACAUUGGAACGGGCUGCCCAGGGCAGUGCUGGAGUCACCGUCCCUGGAGGUGUUUAAGGAAAGACCACCGAGUGCUGGUGUGGUUGUCACAGUGGUGUCCGCUCAUAGACUGGACUCGAUGAUCUCGGAGUCUCUUGAUUCUGCGAUUCUGAGCACUGACCUGCGCCCAGAUUGUUUGUCUGUCCAGAAAUCUCCUCCCUGUUUACAGAGAUGUUCCUCAAACCAUGUCAAGUGCUCUGAAGUAGAACUCCAGAUUGAGUUCAAGAUUACUCAGGAAUUCAGACUUAAAUGCAAAUUUUUGAGUAAUGAUAAACAGUAGUAAUUACUACUAAUUAUAUGUGUAUUGUUCUUAUUAUACAGCAAGUGUAUGGCACUUCACAAAUAUUGAUGGAGUUAGUCUGAUAGUGCCAAGAUAAUAAAAGUAAAGAUAAAUUUAGGCA
rnacentral:lncRNA from 1 species